AUGGGGUGUUACUUGUCGCCGUCUUAUCCAAGUAUAUGCCAAAGCGUGGUCAGACCGACGAUAGUGCUUGAAUGCAGUGUAACUCAUGGACGUGUUUGUUUUGUGAGAAGUAUGGCAGAGCGUGGCUACAGGCUAAUGUGGCUAAUGGCAUGUCUGUCAGUGAACCAAGGGCAUUAUUUGCCUGUCGUGGCUAGAAAUAGUGCAGUGCGAAUGCAAGUCGCUCCUUGUGAGAAACUGCGUUCAGACCAAGAAGCCCCUGCUGCCUGCUACGUUCCAACUAUAUAUAGUUCGCUGUGCUAG
rnacentral:rRNA from 1 species